CCAACUUUACUAAAAUUAGACAUGGAAAGAAUGGGAAGGAAUAGACAAAUAAACUAGCCUUAGAGGAAUGUCCUUUGGUUCAAUAGGACUUCAUGCAACUGGAAUGAGAGGUUACUUUUAGAGGCUUUUAUAAGUAACUCUUUGGAGCAAAGUAGGGGAAUAAAGACGUUUAAGAGUCCAAGUAUAAAGUUUAUUAAUUCAUUUAUUUAACAAACACUUGCUGAGUGCCUACUGUGUGGCAAAUAUUAUUCCCAAGUCUGCAUAAUAUAGGCAAUUGUUUUUGCAUUCAUCAUUCAGAACUUACACUGUAAUGAAGGAAGGAGAAAAGAAAAAUGAAAUGUAGAAAAAUGGAUGCAUGCUAAUAAGUGCUAUGGAAUAAAAAAGCAAAGCAAAGCAAAGUACAUUGUGAGUGUGAGGUAUGGGAUACAUUUAUUGAGUUGCUGUUUAAAAUAGAAUGAUCAGAAUAGACCCACCUUGAAGGUGAUAUUCAGCUUGUAUCAGAUACUUCAAUAUUUUAGAACAAGUCAGUAGUAAAAGGUUGACUGGUUCAUCUUGCAGGCAAAUUUACCAUGGAAAGGUGAGCAUUAUAAUAACUUUUAAGUAUAUGAGAACGUUUACAUUUGUGCACACACACUAGUGUAUAAUUAUCUCAUAGAUAUUAUCUUAGAAGGUUGUCGUUGUUAGCUCAUUUACAUGUGAAAUAUCAGACUCAGAGAGGUUAAGUGACUUGUCUGAGGUCAAUUGAUUAGUGCUUUUGGCUCUAAGUUCUUUCUUUAAAUUUUGUUAAGUUGUCUAUCUCUCGUAUUGAAUUUUUUACUAGCCUUUUAGAUGGCUGUUGUGAGAUAUCACAUUUUAUCACUUCCAGACUUAGUCCGAUUUCAUCUAAUUACUUUGAACAAUGAAUUAUUAUUUUUAAUUGGAAAAGUCUAGUUGUCAUUAUUAUUACUCUGACCAUAGAGAGUUAUUUCAUAUAAUCAUUCAUAUUUUUACCAUUUAAUGUUAUGAUAAUAUUCAUAAGCUUUAGCAUAGGCAGCCCAUUUAAUUGGCACUAUUGAAUGUCAGCACAGGCAUAAAAAUGCAGGUGAGUUUCUUUUAUUAAAAGUGCCCCAAACAGAGUCACAUGUCAAAUGUAAUAACAAUCUCAUAUUUCUGACUUACUUGCUUAUGAUUGUCCAUAAGCCAGUAAUAGGUUAUUCAAAGUCAUUAAAAUAAAUUGAUUUGAAAAAUUACAUUCAGUAAAAAUGCAUGUAGAAAGCAACAUUUAAUUCAGAGUAAUAAGUAUUUUUGUUUUGUUACACAUAAUGAAUGCAUCUAAGUAAAUUCCUACAGGGUCUUAUUAAAUAUUUUCAGUGAUGAUUGCUAGAUGCUUAGCAUGAUUUUCUGAAGUAUAUGAAAUAGAGUUAGAAACUGUCUUGGAGAUUAUAAUUAUGUGGCAUCGCACAAUUAUCACAUAGGAGCUGACAACCAGAAAAUAUAUAUUUUCUAAGUAAGUUGUGAUGCAAGAAAGCAAAGUUAUGAAAUCCAUUUUCCAUUAAUAGUUUAUAAGAGAGUUAUCUCUAACCUUUUUCUAACACAUACUUAGUAAUCAUCUCAAAUAUGUGAUACAGUGCAUAAAAAUUAAGAAUUAAUUAUAUUGGUAAGAAGUACUGAUUAAAAAUUAUUGAUGAGAGAAAUACAUUGAUCAUGAAAUAAAAUGUCCAUCAUGAUGAUGUUAAGAUGAGAACAGAGAAAGGUAGUAAUCUAACUCUAAAAAGACUUGUAGAUAUAUACAGAAUAUUCAAUCCAACAACAGAAUGCACAUUUUUCUCAAUUGCAUAUGGAAUAUUCUCCAGGAUAGAUCAUAUGUUAGAAAACAAAACAAGCCUCAGUAAAAUUAAGAAAGAUAGAAAUUAUAUCAAAUAUAUUUUCAGUUUGAAACUAGAAAUCAAUCAGGAGGAAUUUCAGAAAAUUCAUAAAUAUCCAGAAAUUAAACAACGUGCUCCUGAACAACCAGUUGGUCAGUGAACAAAUUAAAAGAAAAAUUAAAAUAUUUGCAACAAUUGAAAAUGGAAACACAGCAUACCAAACCUAUGAAAUACAGCAAAAGCAGCUCUAAGAGAAAAGUCUUUAGGAAUACAUGGACCCAUCGAAAAAGAAGAUCUCAAAUAAAUAACGUAAUGUUACACCUCAAGGAACUGGAAAAAGAACAAACCAAACGUACAUAAGCAGAAGGAAAGAAAUAAUAAAGAUCAGAGCAGAAAUAUGUGAAAUAGACACUAGAAAAAAAUACAAAAGAUUCUCAAAAUGAUUGAUUGGUUUUUGAAAAGAUAAACAAAAUUGAAAACCUUUAGCUAAACUAAAGUGGGCACAAAAUCAGAAAUGGAAAAGGAAACAUUAUAAUUGAUACCACAGAAAUACAAAAAAAUAUAGUGGACUACUAUGAACAAUUAUGCACUAAAAAAUUAAAUAACCCAGAAGAAAUAAAUUUCUAGACACAUAUAACCUACUAAGACUAAAUCAUGAAGAAGUAGGUCUCAAUAGAGAUUUCCCAUAACAAGCAAGGAAAUUAAAUCAGUGAUAAAAUGUCUACCUUCAAAGAAAAGCCCAGGACCUGAUGCCUUCACAGCAGAAUUCUAUCAAACAUUUAAAAAAGAACGAAUACCAAUCCUCAAAUUUUUCUGACAUAUCAAAGAGGAGGAAUGCUUGCAACCUUUUUUAAUGAAGCCAGCAUUACCCUGAUACCAAAGCCAGACAAGGACAUUACAAAAAAAGAAAACUGUAGGCCAAUCUUCGUGAUAAAUAUAGAUACAAAAAUCCUUAACAAAAUACUAGCAAACCAAAUUCAACAACACAUGGUGGAAGGAUCUUCCACCAUGAUCGAGUAGGAUUUAUCCCUGUGAUGCAACGAUUGUUGAAAUAUAUGCAAAUCAGUAAUUGUGAUACAUCACAAUAACAAAAUGAAGAACAAAAAUCAUACGAUCAUCUAAUUAGAUGCAUAAAAAGCUUUGACAAAAUUCAACAUCCUUGCGUGAUAAAAGCUCUCACCAAAUUAGGUAUAGAAGGAAUAUACAGUGAUACAAUAAAGACCAUAUAGGAGAAGCCAACAGCUAACAUUAUACUCAAUGUUCAAAAGUUGAAGUUCUUUUUAGAUUUCUCUAAAAUCUGAAACAAGGAAAGCUUACUCUUGCCACUUCUAUUCAACAUAGUAUUAAAAGUUCUUGCCAGAGCAAUUUUAUGUAAGAGAAAGAAAUAAGGCACUCAAAUAGGAAAAGAAGUGAAACUGCCUUUGCUGAGGACAUUAUCUUAUGUAUAGAAAAUGUAGAACACCCUACAGGUUUCACCUCAAAUCUGUUAGAACUAAAUUAAUACUGUAAAAUUGCAGAAUACAAAAUCAACAUACAAAAGUCAGCAGUGUUUCUAAAAACUAAUGGCAAAUUUUCUGAAAAAAAUCAAAGGUCAAUUUCAUUUAUAAAAUAGCUACAAAGAAAUAAAAUAGUUAAGAAUAAAUGAAAUUCAAUAAGAAGCAAAUAAACAGAAAAGUAUCUCAUGCUCAUGGACUGGAAGAAUUGCAUAUUUUUAUAAUAAAAUGUCUGUACAAUCCAAAGAGAUCUACAGAUUCAGUGCAGUGCUUAUCCAAAUUCCAGUGUAAUUUUUCAUAGCUAUAGAAAAAAACAACCGUAAAAUUCACAUGGAACUAAAAAUCCGUGAAUAAAGAAGGCAACCAUGAGCAAGAAGAACAAAGCUGGAGGCAUUACACUAUCUAAUUUCAAACUAUACUACAAAGCUGAAGCAAUUAAAACAGCAUGGUACUGGCAAAAAAAAAAAAUAGAUAUAUUAACCAAUUGAACAAAAUAGUGACCCCAGAAAUAAACCCAUGUAUGUACAGUCAAUUAAUUUUUAACAAAGAUGCCAAGAAUAUGCAAAGGGAAAAAGACAGUCUCUUCAAUAAAUGGUCUUGGGAACACUAAAUAUCCACAUGCAGGAGAAUAAAAUUGGAUCCUCAUCUCACACCAUAUACAAAAAACAAACCAAAAUGGAUUAAACACUUAAACAUGGCACCGGAACCUUUAAAGCUAAUAGAGGAAAACAUCAGUGAAAAUUCACACAACUUUGGGCCAUGAAAUUAUUUUUGGAUAUCACCCAAAACACGCAUGCAACAAAAGGAUAAAUAGACAAAUAGGAUUACAUCAAACUAAAAUUUCUGCACACCAAAGGAAACAACAACAUUCAAAGACAGCCUGUGGAUUGUCAGAAAAUAUGUGUAAGCCAUUCAUAUGAUAAGGGGUUAAUGUGCAAAAAAAUGCAAGUAACUCAACUCAACAGCAAAAAACAAAAAACCCAAUUAAGAAAGGGGCAAAAGACUCGAACAGACAUUUCUCAAAGGAAGACAUACAAAUGGCCAACAAAUAUAUACAAAAAUGUUCAACAUCACUAAUCACUACGCAAAUGCAAAUUUAAACCACAAUGAGAUAUCAUCUCACAUUUGUCAGAAUGGUUAUUAACAAAAGAUGAAAAAUAAGUGUUAGCAAGAUGUGGAGAAAAGGGAAGCCUCAUACGCUUGGUGAAAUGUAAAUUGGUGUGGGCCUUAUGGAGAACUGUGUAUGGAGGUUUUUCAAAAAAACUAAAAAUAGAAUUGGCAUAUAAUCCAGCAAUCCCACUUCUGGGUAUUUACUCACAAGUUUUAAAAUCAGUUUGUCAAAGAGAUGGAGAUGUCUGCACUCUAUGUUCUCUAUAGCAUUAUUCACUACAGCCAAGAAAGGGAAUCAAUCUACGUGUCCAUCAACAGAUGAAUGAAGAAAGAAAAUGUAUAUAUACACAAUAAAAUGCUAUUCAGGCUUAAAAAGAAUAUUCUGUUAUACGUAGCAACAUGAACAGAAUUGGAGAGCAUUAUACUAAAUGAAAUAAGCCAGGCAAAAAGAAAAUACCACAUAAUCUCACUUAUAUGUAGAAUCUAAAACAAUUAAACUCAUAGAAGCAGAAAGUAGAAUGGUGAUUACACAAAGCAGGGGCAUGGGAGAAUGAAGAAAUAGUAGUCAAAGGGCACAGAAUCUCAGAGACAGAAAGGAUAUGUUUUUCUUCUUGAGUUCUAUUGCACAGCAUGGUGAAUAUAGUUAAUAACACAUUGCAGUACAUUUCAAAACUGCUAAAAGAAUAAAUUUUUAAUGUUCUCAUCCCAGAAAAUUUUAACUGUUUGAAGUGAUGAAUAUGUUAACUAGCUUGAUUUAAUUAUUUCUCAAUAUAUUUGUAAAUCAUGACAUCACUUUUUGCCCCAUAAAUCCAUAUAAUUAUAAAUUGUCAAUUUACAACAGCAAGGGAAAUAGGUGAACCCAAGAGGUAGAAUCAUACCACUUGGGUUUGUUAUGCACCACUUCAUAAUGCAUUGGAUAUAGACAUAAAGGAAAGUGUGAUGUCAAAUAUGGCUUCUAAAUUUCAGAAUUGCAUGAUAUAUUGAUAGUUAUCAUUGUAUUAGUUAAUAUUAGAAGAGCAUCACGCAGGAAGAGAGGGAAUAAGGCACUUAGUUUUGCACAUGUUGAGUUUCAGGUACCUUAGUGGUUUACAAGUACA
rnacentral:lncRNA from 1 species